CAACAACACAGGCAGCAGCGACAACGCUGUACAAUUUCAACAUCAACAACAGAACAACCACGCAACAACUUCAACAAUAAAAUGUGACAACAACAUUAAUAACCCGACAGCAACAACAGUGAAGCAGCGUACCAAACAACUCCAAAACACCAACGACUACAAUUUCAACAGCUUAGCAACAAAGUUCAGAUUCUGCACAAAUUCCAGGUCAAACCUUAUCUCAAUUUUGAAAUUCAAAUCUCAACUAGUUUUUCCUUGUUUAUCCUUCCGAUUUCCCCCCAAAAUUCACUAUAAAUACCCAUAUAUGUAGAGUGAAAGGGGGGAGAAUUUUUGGGGAAAAAUUGAGAUUUGGGUGGCGCUUGCUUCCAAUCCUAUGUAACCAAAAAUCCUCGAAGAAACAUACUCAAAAACUCAAUUCCGAAGAAAAUUAAAAUCCAAAGAUUCGAAAUUUAAACUCCGGUGUUGAAAGCUCGUCGUCCAUUCAUCUUCCCGGAUUCGCUGCCCCGAAAAAGAUUCUAGUUCGAGCACUUCAUGUGGUGGUUGAGGUUUCGAGCGGAGUUAACCAAAUUCGAGGUACAAGAUCAUUCUACUGUUCAGGGUGGAAAUCAAAUCUCAUCCAAUCCAUAUGUCUUUAUUUGGAAUAGAGACAACUUUUGUAUUUUCUGUUUUAAAUUUUGUACUUAGAUGCUCUUGCAUUAUGACAUCAGAUUUUGGAUGAUUUAUGUUACUUUUUCA